GGCCCUUCCCCCACCCAGCACCACGCCGGGCAGAGGCUCCCGACCACCUCGCCGGCCCUCAGCGCCUCGGUUUCCCGCUCCGGGGGCUGCGCAUGGGCUCGGGGGGUAGGGGGGACGUCCGAGGCGGCCGGCCACCGGAGACAACGCGCCGCCUCUCGGCUCUCCUGACUCGACUCCUGCAGGGGCGAUAGCGCCUCGGAGCCCCUCCUCUCCCCCCAUUAUGUUCCAAGGCCUCCGAGCCUUCCCCAACUCCUCCACGCUAUCUCCUCAAGGCCGCGCACGCCCCACGCUGCCUCACCGCGGGUCCUCGAACUCAACGAAGGCGAAGGGCGGUCCCCCGCGGCGGUUCUUCAGGUCGAUGUCGCGGAUGGCGCCGUAUUUGUAAAACACGUCCUCGAUGUCCUUGGUUCGGAUAUCCGGAGGUAGGUUACCCACGUAGAUGCGGCAGUCGUUGUUCCCCGCCGGGCCACGGAUCACACCACCUCCCGACAUGGCGGCGGCGGCGACGACGAAAAGCGCGGACUCGGGGGGGGGGAAGGAAAAAAAAAAAAAGAGGCCUUCCUACCAAGCCUAGCGUACGGCAGAGCGAGCCCUCAGCGGCACCACGUCUCCCGCGGCCGCUCCAAAAUGGCGCCUUUAUCAGCUCGGCGCACUGAUACCGGGGGGGAGGGGGAGGAAGAGAAGCCGGAGGAAGCGGCUCGUCCCUCCCAGUGCGCAGGCGCACGCCUCUAACGGGUGCUGAGAAGCACGCUCGCGCACGCGCGACGUCACCCUCCGCACGGAGGGGAAAAAGUCCCUCGCGUCCUGGCGGGUUGACUGGCUGCUGGAACGUCCAGGCGUUUAGUAAAAAUCACAUGCUCUGGUUAAAGCGGUUAUUAUUAAUCCCCACUGAGUCCAGAAUCGUCGGCCACCUCGGGGGUAGACCCUCUCUGAAAGCAGCUCGGCGCUCUAAAAAGAUUGGGUGAAACCUAUCUUGCAAGCGUGUCCCACCAUGCUCCGCGGUGGUAACGGCCUUUGGCGGGAAAGGCGCCGCGGGGCGGAGAUAGAUGACGCUGAGCUGUUGCUCCGGAAACCUGGGCAUCUUCUGCACUUCGGUGCCGCCGGCGGGAGUUGCAGGUGAUUUCAUUUAAAAGCCGAAGCGGAGCAGUGUGGCUUCUGCCUCUGGGAACCUGCGGUGGGCUGCAUCUUAGUUAAAGUGUCUAGACGGAUCCUCCAUAUCUAUCUAAAUGAAAACUGUGCCUUGAGUUUUCCUCUUCCUCCUUUCUAAGGAUGAAAAAGGAAGAGUGAUAAAACAGUUUAACUGCAGAGCCGAGAUCCCGGUUCUGUGCUGGUCUAGGGAGAUUAUUUAUUUAUUUGUUUAUUUUGCCAAGAUUAUCUGCAAAAGGAUUCUUGCAUUGGAUACCACAAUUUUGCUUCUUUGUUUUGUAAUAACGGGAAUAGAAGAGCCUUACGUGUGAAAUCAUACGGCCUUGUAGUGUUGUUAAUGAACUCGAAUUAUAAUAAAAGCAAACCAAUCUGGACUUAA
rnacentral:lncRNA from 1 species